AGGAGGCGUGCCUUACGUCUACUGGAGCAAUAACCUCUUCCCAGUCGGGCUGCGUCUGGACAAUAAUUUCUUUAUGAGAACUUAGAAUAUGUGACCUGGUGAUGGUGGAUUAAUGACUCACAAUGAUGAACCACCCAAGAAUAGAUUGAGACACUUAGGGCUUGUUCUGCUGCCCUUAACCAUCUGUGGAGAAUGGACUGUUGGUUCUACUACUUCAUCAACCAACCCUACUAUACUGGUUAUAAAAGAGGAGAACCAGAACUCUGGGCGUCAGUUGCCUUGGCAUGCACAAUCCAGCGUUUAACAAAAUGAAGGUGGAUAUCACUGGACAGACAACACUUGAACUCCAAAAGUUUGCUGCUGGGUGAGCAUGGAUGGGUAGAGAAUGUGAA